GUCAAGUUAUUAAGGGUGCAGGGCGGAUGCCUUGGCACUAGGAGCCGAUGAAGGACGUGAUAAGCUGCGAUAAGCUUCGGGGAGUUGCACGUAAACUUUGAUCCGAAGAUUUCCGAAUGAGGAAACUCACUUAGAGUAAUGUCUAAGUAUCAUUAAGUGAAUACAUAGCUUAAUGAGGGGAACUCAGGGAACUGAAACAUCUAAGUACCUGAAGGAAGAGAAAGAAAUUCGAUUCCGUAAGUAGCGGCGAGCGAACGCGGAUUAGCCCAAACCAAUAAAGUUUUCUUUAUUGGGGUUGCGGACAUAUCAUAACGAAGAGGUAUCGUAAUUGAAGAGGUUUGGAAAGACCCACCACAGAAGGUAAUAGUCCUGUAUGUUAAACGAGAAGACUUCAGAUAUGAUCCAGAGUACCACGGGACACGUGAAACCCUGUGGGAAGCAGGAGGGACCACCCUCCAAGGCUAAAUACUACCUAGUGACCGAUAGCGUAUAGUACCGUGAGGGAAAGGUGAAAAGAACCCCGGGAGGGGAGUGAAAUAGAACCUGAAACCCUGCACUUACAAGCUGUGGAAGCACAUUUCUUGUGUGACCGCGUACUUUUUGUAGAACGGGCCAACGAGUUACGUUAAGUAGCAAGGUUAAGCACUUAAGGUGCGGAGCCGUAGCGAAAGCGAGUUUUAACUGAGCGUUCAGUUACUUGACGUAGACCCGAAACCGGGCGACCUACCCAUGAGCAGGAUGAAGCGAAAGUAAAAUUUCGUGGAGGUCCGAACCCACGAGCGUUGAAAAGCUCGGGGAUGACUUGUGGGUAGCGGUGAAAUUCCAAUCGAGCCCGGAGAUAGCUGGUUCUCCCCGAAAUAGCUUUAGGGCUAGCCUCAAGGUGAGAGAUACGGAGGUAGAGCACUGAAUGUCCUAGGGGGUAUUGCACCUACCGAAGACUAUCAAACUCCGAAUGCCGUCAUCUUAUACUUGGGAGUCAGACUGUGGGUGAUAAGAUUCAUAGUCGAAAGGGCAACAGCCCAGAUCGUCAGCUAAGGUCCCUAAAUGUAAGUUAAGUGGUAAAGGAUGUGGGAUUGCACAGACAACCAGGAUGUUGGCUUAGAAGCAGCCACUCAUUCAAAGAGUGCGUAAUAGCUCACUGGUCGAGUGAUCCUGCGCCGAAGAUUUCCGGGGCUAAAACUUACUACCGAAGCUACGGCAUCAGUAAUGAUGGGUAGGGGAGCUUCCCAUACGGGUUGAAGCAUGACCGUAAGGACAUGUGGACAGUAUGGGAGUGAGAAUGUUGGCAUGAGUAGCGAGAUGUGGGUGAGAAUCCCACAGGCCGUAAACCCAAGGUUUCCAGGGGAAGGUUCGUCCGCCCUGGGUUAGUCGGGACCUAAGCUGAGGCCGAAAGGCGUAGGUGAUGGACAACAGGUUGAUAUUCCUGUACUACCGAUAACCGUUUGAGAGAAGGGAUGACACAGUAGGAUAAGCUAAGCACACUGUUGGUUAUGUGUGCCCAAGCAUUGAGGCAGUCAAAGUAGGCAAAUCCGCUUUGAUAAUGCUGGGAUGUGAUGGGGAGCGAAAUUUAGUAGCGAAGUAGCUGAUUUCACACUGUCAAGAAAAGUCUCUAUCGAGGUUAAAGGUACCCGUACCGCAAACCGACACAGGUGGGUGAGGAGAGUAUCCUAAGGCCAGCGAGAGAACUGUUGUUAAGGAACUCGGCAAAAUGACCCCGUAACUUAGGGAUAAGGGGUGCCACCAUCAGGUGGCCGCAGAGAAUAGGCCCAAGCGACUGUUUACCAAAAACAUAGGUUUCUGCUAAGUCGCAAGACGAUGUAUAGGAGCUGACGCCUGCCCGGUGCUGGAAGGUUAAGGGGAUCUGUUAGAGCAAUCGAAGCAGUGAACUUAAGCCCCAGUAAACGGCGGCCGUAACUAUAACGGUCCUAAGGUAGCGAAAUUCCUUGUCGGGUAAGUUCCGACCCGCACGAAAGGCGUAACGAUUUGGGCACUGUCUCAACAACAGACUCGGUGAAAUUGUAAUUCCGGUGAAGAUGCCGGAUACCUGCGACAGGACGGAAAGACCCCAUGGAGCUUUACUGUAGCUUGACAUUGGGUCUUGGUACUACAUGUACAGGAUAGGUGGGAGGCUUUGAAACCAGGACGCCAGUUUUGGCGGAGCCAUCCUUGGGAUACCACCCUUGUAGUACUGGGACUCUAACCAUAGGCCAUGAAUCUGGUCUUGGGACACUGUCAGGUGGGCAGUUUGACUGGGGCGGUCGCCUCCCAAAAGGUAACGGAGGCGCUCAAAGGUUCUCUCAGUACGGUCGGAAAUCGUACGUAGAGUGUAAAGGCAAAAGAGAGCUUGAUUGCAAGACAUACAGGUCGAGCAAGGAUGAAAAUCGGACUUAGUGAUCCGGUGGUUCUGCGUGGAAGGGCCAUCGCUCAACGGAUAAAAGCUACCCUGGGGAUAACAGGCUUAUCUCCCCCAAGAGUCCACAUCGACGGGGAGGUUUGGCACCUCGAUGUCGGCUCAUCACAUCCUGGGGCUGUAGUAGGUCCCAAGGGUUGGGCUGUUCGCCCAUUAAAGUGGUACGCGAGCUGGGUUCAGAACGUCGUGAGACAGUUCGGUCCCUAUCCGUCGCAGGCGUAGGAAAUUUGAGAAGACCUGUCCUUAGUACGAGAGGACCGGGAUGGACGUACCUCUGGUGUACCAGUUGUCCUGCCAAGGGCAUGGCUGGGUAGCUAUGUACGGAAUGGAUAAGCGCUGAAAGCAUCUAAGCGCGAAGCCAACUUCAAGAUAAGAUUUCCCACCGCAAGGGUAAGACCCCAGAAAGACUAUCUGGUUGAUAGGUCGAAGGUGUAAGUGCAGCAAUGUAUUUAGCUUAUCGAUACUAAUAGGUCGAGGACUUGAC
rnacentral:rRNA from 1 species